UAAAGGAAAAUCAGAUAAAAAUAUAGGCAUCUGGAAAUUUUCAGGAUGUGAUAAAUGAGUGAUCCUUAAUGUCUACCCUAUUUUGGGGAGGAAUUUCAGUUACCUUAGCAAUGCAUACUAUAAAAACUCAAUCAAUAGUUGUUAACUGAUUAAACUUACUAUAAUGACUAGGCAAGGAACUAGCUGAUUAUCAAAUUUCCUUGCAAUGCUAAUAUACCCUAAUACAUUUUACAGAGAAAAACUAGGGAUGCAAUGAAGCUGUCUAAGGUAGCAUGCAUAAUGAUUAAAAGCACAGGCUGUAGAGUCAGACAGACUUGUGUUGGAAUAUCAACUCGGCCAUUUAUUGUGGGACCUCAGGCAAGUUUCUCAAUUUAUCAGAUACUCUGUUUCCUUAUCUGCAGAAUGGGGAGAUUAACAGUAGGUACUGUAUCGAUUUAUUCAUUUAAGAAAUAUUCACUGAGGGGGGGUUGCUUCCAAGAUGGCGGAAUAGGAAUAGCUCCUGUCUACAGCUCCCAGCAAGAUCGACGCAGAAGACGGGUGAUUUCUGCAUUUCCAACUGAGGUACCUGGUUCAUCGCAUUGGGACUGGUUGGACAGUGGGUGCGGCCCAUGGAGGGUGAGCUAAAGUAGGGUGGGACAUCCCCUCACCCAGGAAGUGCAAGGGAUCGGGUGAUUUCCCUGUGGUAGCCAAGGGAAGCUGUGAGUGACUGUACCUGGAGGAACGGUAUGCUCCUGCCCAAACACUAUGCUUUGCCCAUGGUCUUCACAACUGGCAGACCAGGAGAUUCCCUCCUGUGCCCGGCUUGGUGGGUCCCACGCCCACGAGUCUUGCUCGCUGCUAGCACAGCUGUCUGAGAUCAACCUGGGAUGCUGGAGCUUGGUGGGGGGAGGUCCACCCUUGAUGAGGCUUGAGUAGGUGGUUCUAUGCUCACAGUAUAAACAAAGUGGCAGGGAAGCUCGAACUGGGCAGAGCCCACUGCAUCUCAUUAAGGCCUACUGCCUCUCUAGAUUCUACCUCUGGGGGCAGGGCAUAUCUGAACAAAUGGCAGCAUGGCAGCAGACAGCUUCUAGAGACCUAAACUUCUCUGCCUGACAGCGCUGAAGAGAGCAGUGAUUCUCCCAGCACAGCAUUCCAGCUCCAAUAAUGGAAAGACUGCCUCCUCAAGUGGGUCGCUGACCCCCAUGUAGCCUGACAGGGAGAUAUCUCCCAGUAGGGGCUGACAGACACCUUAUAUAGGCGAGUGCCCUCAGGGAUGAAGCUUCCAGAGGAAGGAACAGGCAGCAGUAUUUGCUGUUCUACAGCCUCCUCUGGUGAUACCCCUGCAAACAGG
rnacentral:lncRNA from 1 species